rnacentral:rRNA from 1 species
GUCUACGGCCAUGCCAACCUGAACAGGCCCAGUACCGUCUGAUCUCAGAAGUUAAGCAGGGUCAGGGCUGGUUAGUACUUGGAUGGGAGACUACCUAGGAAGAUCAGGUGCUGUAGACA